rnacentral:rRNA from 1 species
UACGAAGGUGGCAAGCGUUACUCGGAAUUACUAGGCGUAAAGGGCAGGUAGGUGGUUCGGUAAGUCUGUUGUGUAAGCUCCUGGCUUAACUGGGAGAGGUCAACGGAAACUACCGGACUUGAGUAUAGGAGAGGUUACUGGAAUUCCCGGUGUAGCGGUGAAAUGCGCAGAGAUCGGGAGGAACACCAGUGGCGAAGGCGGCGAUCUGGGAAGAUACUGACGCUGAGGUGCGAAAGCGUGGGGAGCAAACAGG